rnacentral:snRNA from 1 species
UGCUUUACCUGGCAGGGGAGAUACCUUGAUCACAAAGGUGGUUUUCUCAGGUGAGGCUCAUCCAUUGCACUCCGGAUGUGCUGAUUCCUGCGAUUUCCCCAAAUGUGGGAAACUCUGCUGCAUAAUUUAUGGUAGUGGGGAACUGUGUUCGCGCUCUCCCCUA